rnacentral:rRNA from 1 species
GUGGGGAAUUUUGGACAAUGGGCGCAAGCCUGAUCCAGCCAUGCCGCGUGCAGGAUGAAGGCCUUCGGGUUGUAAACUGCUUUUGUACGGAACGAAAAGACUUCUUCUAAUACAGGAGGUCCAUGACGGUACCGUAAGAAUAAGCACCGGCUAACUACGUGCCAGCAGCCGCGGUAAUACGUAGGGUGCAAGCGUUAAUCGGAAUUACUGGGCGUAAAGCGUGCGCAGGCGGUUAUAUAAGACAGAUGUGAAAUCCCCGGGCUCAACCUGGGAACUGCAUUUGUGACUGCAAGGCUGGAGUGCGGCAGAGGGGGAUGGAAUUCCGCGUGUAGCAGUGAAAUGCGUAGAUAUGCGGAGGAACACCGAUGGCGAAGGCAAUCCCCUGGGCCUGCACUGACGCUCAUGCACGAAAGCGUGGGGAGCAAACAGGAUUAGAAACCCUGGUAGUCC